GCGCUCAUGGUUGAGUGGUACAAUGCAUCCUUCCCAUACUCCUGUAUCAGGAUGCGGCCCGGGUUCGAUUCCCGGUGGGCGCA
rnacentral:tRNA from 1 species